rnacentral:lncRNA from 1 species
AAACUGCCCUCAGGGCAAAGAAGCCUGCAGAAUAAUUGGGAGGAGUCUGGCAGGAAGGAAGCCAAGUUUCCUGAGGCCCUCACCAGAAGCUCAUCAGAAGCAGAUGCUGGCACCACUCUUCUUAUGCUGUCUGCGUAACUAAUCAGUAUUUCAAGCAUCCAAAAUGUGUAGGAGAAUAUGGACCCAAGAACGGAGCAGAGAGACAAAUAGAGGAACGGAAAGUUUUGCCUACAACCAUGAUGUUCUCAAUGUUAGCUGACUGUGUUCUAAAAUCCACUCCAAUUCCCAUUUUGGGAGUUGCUAUGUGAUGAAGGUCUGCCCCUGUGGUGUUGGGACAACUUGCUCAUGGAGUUGCAGUUCUUGCCUAACAGGAACCCACCAUGAGCUGCCUCCUGCCCCUGAGGGGAGGAGUCCAUCCUCUUCUAUAGGAUACACCUGUUGGCUUGUUUGUCCUUCCUUCCCCUUUCUGGGAAUUGUUCUCCAUCAACAUGUUUAUGGGGACAGCCAUUUCUAUACAAUGUGACCUGUAUUGAUCUAUUUUGUGUUGCUAUAAAUAAAUACCUGAGGCUGGUAAUUUUUAAAGAAGAGAGGUUAAUUUGGCCCAUAAUUCUGCAGGCUGUACAAGAAGCAUGGCACCAGCAUCUGCUUCUGGUGAGGCCGCAGGAAGCUUCCACUCAUGGUGGAAGGUGGAGGAGGAGCAGGCGUGUUAUAUGGCAAGAGCGAGAGCAAGAGAGAGAGCAGAAGGUGUCAGGCAACCAGCUCUCAUGUGAACUAAUGAGCAAGGACUCACUCAUCACCAAGGGGAUGGCCCCAGCCAUUCCUGAGAGAUCCGCCCCCUAACCCAAACACCUCCCACCAAGCCCCACCUCCAAGACUGGCGGUCAAAUUUUAACAUGAGACCUUCAUUAUCAAUGUUUGUGUAUCUACACAUCCAAAGUAGAUCAUCAUCUUUGGUCUUUGGGAGAUACACCAGAGAAAAACAACUCCUCUGGCCUGGGAGAUUUUGACUUUCUGCUUUUCAUGUGUGUUUGCUUUUAUCGAAGAGGGAAUCUGCUACUUGCCUGAUGCAACUGCAUUUGGAUACUGAACUGGGGCCCAAAGAGUCUCAAAUCACUGCCUGGGAAUGCCAAUUUCUCAUCAUGAAUUAGAAAUCAAUUCUAGCAGCCUCCCUGCUAAGUAAAAAAAUUACAUAAUUCUUUCUGCACUACUGCAUUAGGCUGAUUUUUUUUUUCCUUUUCCUGAAUGUACAGUAAAUCUCUAGUGGUUUAAGCCAUGGUGCCUCUGCUUAAACACAAUAUGAAAUCGCUACCAAAUUUAAAUAAAAAAUAAAUUCUG